rnacentral:rRNA from 1 species
CGCUGGCGGCGUGCCUAAUACAUGCAAGUCGAGCGAACAGAUAAGGAGCUUGCUCCUUUGACGUUAGCGGCGGACGGGUGAGUAACACGUGGGUAACCUACCUAUAAGACUGGAAUAACUCCGGGAAACCGGNGCUAAUGCCGGAUAACAUUUAGAACCGCAUGGUUCUAAAGUGAAAGAUGGUUUUGCUAUCACUUAUAGAUGGACCCGCGCCGUAUUAGCUAGUUGGUAAGGUAACGGCUUACCAAGGCAACGAUACGUAGCCGACCUGAGAGGGUGAUCGGCCACACUGGAACUGAGACACGGUCCAGACUNCUACGGGAGGCAGCAGUAGGGAAUCUUCCGCAAUGGGCGAAAGCUGACGGAGCAACGCCGCGUGAGUGAUGAAGGUCUUCGGAUCGUAAAACUCUGUUAUUAGGGAAGAACAAAUGUGUAAGUAACUAUGCACGUCUUGACGGUACCUAAUCAGAAAGCCACGGCUAACUACGUGCCAGCAGCCGCGGUAAUACGUAGGUGGCAAGCGUUAUCCGGAAUUAUUGGGCGUAAAGCGCGCGUAGGCGGUUUCUUAAGUCUGAUGUGAAAGCCACGGCUCAACCGUGGAGGGUCAUUGGAAACUGGGAAACUAGAGU